rnacentral:rRNA from 1 species
UACAGAGGUCUCAAGCGUUGUUCGGAUUCAUUGGGCGUAAAGGGUGCGUAGGUGGCGCUGUAAGUCGGGUGUGAAAUUUCGGAGCUUAACUCCGAAACUGCAUUCGAUACUGCGGUGCUUGAGGACUGGAGAGGAGACUGGAAUUCAUGGUGUAGCAGUGAAAUGCGUAGAGAUCAUGAGGAAGACCAGUGGCGAAGGCGGGUCUCUGGACAGUUCCUGACACUGAGGGACGAAAGCUAGGGGAGCGAAUGGG